rnacentral:rRNA from 1 species
UACGAAGGGGGCUAGCGUUGUUCGGAAUUACUGGGCGUAAAGCGCACGUAGGCGGAUACUUAAGUUAGGGGUGAAAUCCCAGAGCUCAACUCUGGAACUGCCUUUAAUACUGGGUAUCUCGAGUCCGGAAGAGGUGAGUGGAAUUCCGAGUGUAGAGGUGAAAUUCGUAGAUAUUUGGAGGAACACCAGUGGCGAAGGCGGCUCACUGGUCCGGUACUGACGCUGAGGUGCGAAAGCGUGGGGAGCAAACAGG